rnacentral:rRNA from 1 species
UACGGGGGGGGCAAGCGUUGUUCGGAAUUACUGGGCGUAAAGGGUGCGUAGGCGGCUUUCUAAGUUGGAUGUGAAAACUAUGGGCUCAACCCAUAGCCUGCAUCCAAAACUGGAGAGCUUGGGUUCUGGAGGGGAGAGCGGAAUUCCUGGUGUAGCGGUGAAAUGCGUAGAUAUCAGGAGGAACACCGGUGGCGAAGGCGGCUUUCUGGACAGAUACCGACGCUGAGGCACGAAAGCUAGGGGAGCAAACAGG